UGAUUUUGAUAUGUUCCUUCUCACUAUUUUUUUGUUAGCUGGAGGGAAAGAAACAAAAUUGCUUUUCAGAGAGAGCCUGGGAGGACUUGCCCUUCUGUGCAUUCAAACAUUGUUGGAUUAGGAUUUUCAGAUUUUGGUGUAGUAGGCACCAUUUUGUUGAUGAAGUGUUGUAGAUUUUGCGAUUUCCUUCAUUAUAAAUUACCUGUUAUUUUUGUAUGUAAAUUCAUUGAACUUGUUCUCCCUGGGUGUAUGUUAAUGAAUUUCUUUACUUAUCUGGUAAAGAA
rnacentral:misc_RNA from 1 species